UGGAACUGAGACACGGUCCAGACACCUACGGGUGGCAGCAGUCGAGAAUCAUUCACAAUGGGGGCAACCCUGAUGGUGCGACGCCGCGUGGGGGAUAAGGUCUUCGGAUUGUAAACCCCUGUCAUGUGGGACAUUAAAAAGAUAGUACCACAAGAGGAAGAGACGGCUAACUCUGUGCCAGCAGCCGCGGUAAUACAGAGGUCUCAAGCGUUGUUCGGAAUCACUGGGCGUAAAGCGUGCGUAGGCUGUUUCGUAAGUCGUGUGUGAAAGGCAGGGGCUCAACCCCUGGAUUGCACAUGAUACUGCGAGACUAGAGUAAUGGAGGGGGAACCGGAAUUCUCGGUGUAGCAGUGAAAUGCGUAGAUAUCGAGAGGAACACUCGUGGCGAAGGCGGGUUCCUGGACAUUAACUGACGCUGAGGC
rnacentral:rRNA from 1 species